UAAGUGUAAUAUCACUAUAGUUACAUCUAUACUGAACCGGUGAUUCCAUUUUAUCUGCGAACAAAGUGCCUGGUGACAUACUGCUACAUUGUUAGAAACUAUGUACAUGAAUAUCUUAAUUCAAGUGCAUAGCAAACCAUAUUCAUCGUAUGUUAAUUGGAAUAAAAGAAGUAUAUUUUCGUGCAAUAAAACUCUGGUGAAGGUAAUUCGCAGAAAGAAGAGGAGCCAACCUAGUAAUUUUAUGACACUUCCUGCACACUUUGUGUUAUAUUCUUGUCCAUCAUUGGGACCUUAUGUUCAAAAUCAACGUAGUCGCAACCACCAGAUUCAUGGUUUUCUUUUCAUCUCAUUUGCAACAUUAAACGCAGAAAGUAGACUCAGGUUCUCUACCACAACUUUCCUUGAUUGCUCGUACAAAAAUCUUGUUCUGGAUCAAGUGCACAAUACCUUCUAUGGUUUGUACACUGGUUCUUGCAUUGUUUAGUCACAACAAAUGCUUGAGGGCUGUACUAAAUAAUAUAAUGGGGCGUGAACUGACUAUAACCUCCUUUUUUGUAGUCAUUGUGCAGCUCAUUUAAAUCUUUUGAGGAAAUGCAAAAGCAUAUCAAAUUUUGGGCCCACAUUCAUCAAUCUUUUUGUCCACAGCUCAUACUCAACCUGGUCAUCAGGAUGUGGAAUGGCCUCCCUCCAAUCAAAAUAAGCAUUUCCAUUUCACCUCCUUAACAGCCUUCUUCAAUUGUUCACCAAACAUUUUAUCAAUUAGAACAGACAUAAUGCUUAUGUUUUAUAUAUUACUUCGCAGCCUUGUCACGUCCUGAGGUAAAUCCAUUUUUUUGAGCGGCUCAUCCAUUGAAAGGACUGCCGACGCACCAGCAUUUUGUGCAUUCCAAAUCUUCAUGUCAAACACGCAAUCUAGAUAACAUAUAUAGAGAAAACAAUAUCAGCCUUUAAUUUGAAGUAGCUUUUUUCUUAGAGGAUAAUUUGAAGCUUGGGCAGCUAAAACUAGAAGGCCAGAAUUAGGGGUGUAAAUUGGACAGGCUUGCUGUUUGUCCUGCAGCCCGUGCUGCGGUCGCUAGCCCAUUUAUUUUUAUCUGGGUUAUCCGUUUCUCCUGCAGGGAUAACACUGGGACAGCCAUGACGACCCGCGGGAUCCCGCAUGGCCCAGCGGGUCUGACACUGCUCAUGUCUUUCCCCCAUCCUCAAUGUCUCUCGUGCUCUUCGCCAUGGUAGCGCCCGCCAUCCUCAUGUCCGGCCUUGACAGGAGCACACCCAGCCAGGUGAUUGGGUCAGGCCCGCGUCACCCAAUAAUUUUUAAAGUUCUUUUUCAUUAGAAGAAAUUAUCAGAAAAAAAUAUAAUCACAGUGCAUUUCCCCACCCAACAUUGAAAAUACAGUGUUUGCCCCACCUAAUAUUAAAAACCUGAGUCCUCCACUAGCCUGGAGGCAGUCGUCCCACGAAAUGCUCACAGCUGCCUCCCUGUGUCGUGCCGUUAGCCUGGUGGUCGAGGAUGAUCCCCGUCCUCCUCCCACCUCUGCUACAGCCAGCGGCGGUCAAGGAACCGCUGGGGAACAGGAGAAGAGGAGGAGCUUCCCCCGUCCCUAAAGCACGCGGGUAGAACGGGGCGCUGUCGCAACUCUUUCCGGUGGGGACGCCAACCGUGGAUCUGUCAGUGACUUGAUCUCAGAGGUGGAACCUGGACUCGGUGGCACGACAUGUGCUUCAGUACGGCCGCGACUAUUCCACACUGCGGGCCGGUGUCCUUGGAGAAUCACCAAUGGUGGGUGCAAGAAGAGCAUCGGUGGCUCUCUUCGGCUUCGUUCUGCUCGCUUCCGGAGAGGGCACUGCGUCAGCGGAGACUUGGUGAAGGACAGAUGGGAUCAGGUUUUGCUCCGGCAAUGCAGGAAGGCGCGACGGCGACAGCUCUGCUUCACUUCCGCUCUAGCUUUGGGCCCUAAUUUCUGGUGAUAUACUACUAAUCGUUGGCUGCUACUAGCAGAGUAGCAAUAGGCAGGCAUAUAAAUCAUAUUUAUCCCAUAUUUGCUGUAUGCGAGGCUGCAGGCUACUAUGCGGGAUAACUGUGCCGAGGAUGCCUAACCCACAUAUCCCAGCGGGACACGAUCUAGCAGGAUGUAGGCAGGAAAAUUAAUCCGGCAACUCUUACAGCAGCAGCGUGGGCGGGAUGAGGCUGUCCCACUUGCACCCCUAGCCAGAAUGCACCCUAAGGCCUAAAGAUGCGGAAAAUCCUUUCAGUGCUUGUGUGCUAGGUGUCUUGAUAUCCCAGCCCUGCCUCUGUCGAUCGGAGCGUUGCAAUGAGCUUAGAGCUAUUAGUAUGCAAGCCAGCCUUUUCGUAUAUGGUCCAGUACAUCCCCAUGUUGGCCCACAAUAGACAUGCUAUUUAUUACGACAGACCUGAUAUGGCCCAUGUUUUUGCCUCACUUUGGUCAUGGACUAAUGAUACUGACAUGCACCAAAACACUGCACAUAUUAGCAACCACAGUGGUUCAUCUCCAAACACCAAAUUCCCUUGUUGGGGAUAUUUGAAUUCGUGCAAAUUUCAAAGCUUAUGCAUCAAUUCUAAUCUGAUCAAAUUUCCAAUCAUCACAAAGUUUUCAAUCAUUACAAAUUUUCCAAUCGACAAGAUCUGGACUGAUCAGCAACAUCUGUACUCAUCACAAAUUCAGUCUGGACAACCAAUCAACCAGAAAAUGGAUAUGCCAGAAAAUAGAUAAGGAAAGAGCUAAACCCAAAAAUCGAUCAAGGACCGGAUCAACCAGAAAAUCGAAAUUAUUCAUGAGCAGCGAGAGGUGAUGGCCGACGUCCUGUUCAAGGCCGGCAUGCUGGACAUGGAGGAGUGGCUUGCUACGCGAAGCAUGGACGACGAGCGGGCAUGCACAUGGGCCGCCGUCACCUGCAACCACGUACCAUCCGCAUCUCGGGGCUCUCCUCAACAGCUCUGGCAAGCUCGGUCAUAGGCUCCUCUGCCUCGAGUCACUCCGGUCACCCUCUCUCGCAACAACUUCUCGAUGUGGCGGCAUGGAAGACGUGCCUCGCGUGGGUGUCGUUGGGAGAAGGGGUAGGAGAAACUGGAGCUCGACACUAUGCCUGUGGCCACCGGCCACCGCCUUUUGCGUCGUCGGAUGGACCGCUCCACUUCUUCGUCGGUUGUGCAGCCACCUCGCCGUGUCUAUCCUACUGGCCGUCGCCUCUGUUCAGUGCCGCCUCGUGCCCGAGAACAGUUACCUGGCGUCUGCGACGACGACGACGACCAUGGCGCGCUUUGAUGGACCCAAGGAGCACUUCGAGUCCCUCCCGAUGGAGUUGUACCUGGGGGGUGGUGGAGCCGCAUGUGGCCGGCGUGAUGGUCAAUGUCGGAUCUGGAGAGGGUUGCCGAUGUGAGGAGGCGAUGCCGCUGCAACUUGAGACGGUGGCGGCUGGCGAUGAACUCCAUGGCGGCGAUCAUGGAUCUUCACGGCACGUCGACGCGCUCCGGCGUUCGCUGCAACUUGAGAUGGUGGCGAAUGGAUUUUCGAGGAGGCGGGGGACAGGCGACCAUAGUUGGUGGCGGCGAGAGGGUGAGACUAGGGCAUAUUUAGGGUGAGCGGUGGGACUAUGUACCAUCCCGAAAAAUUGAGUUGGUCCAGCAACCACAUACGAAGUGGAGCAGUAUAGGCACUGUUUAUACCCGAUACUGGGCCAGAAAAGAAUCCACUUGCCCACCACUCCGACCGUUCCUACAUCACGGGACCCAAACAUCCUUGUUCCUAAAGAUGUUCUUAUUUGGCCUAUUUAAUUGUUAGAAACAGAAAUUGGCUAAAAAAUAUACCGGACUCAAGUGAAAUGAGUCUAACUUUGAGGUCAAAAAAUAUAACACCAUCUUUUGACAUCCCUAAAUAAUUUCUGGUAGGGCAAAAUAUGCAAAAGAAAACCUCAUUGAUGAUGCAGUUUCUUAGUGGUGCGAAAGGAUAGCAUUGAAAAUUUGAAAUAGGGAUAAGGAUCUUGUCAGAUAGAUAGUGACCGAUAACAGAAGAACGUGUCGCUUCAAUUAAUAAAAUGCACUGCACACCAUGAAUUAAAAGAGAAUAUGUCAAAAAAAACAUCAUGACAAGAGCGACAUAUCUAAAAGGAAGGCUCCUAUUACCUCUUGUUUCAUACUCAUCAACCGAACACUGAACUGCAAAACCCUCCAAAGAGCAUGGAAAUAAUUCUGCUAAACAAAAACAAAAAACUGUAAUUACGAUAACAACCAACAUCUAAAGUGAAGGGACAACCAACAAACCACACGCGAUGCAUAUAUAUAAUAAACCGUACUACUGGGUGUAGUUACUCCCACUUCUCAUAUACUAUUUCUAUGAUACUCCAAAGCAAACUGCAUGAAAAAAAUUACAAGUCAGUAUAUAGUUUUUUAUGUAUUUUAGAAAUACCUUAAUAUUUGUACAUAUAAUGUGGAAUAUUAAAAACCUGUGCAUACUACCUACAAAGUACUCCCUCCGUCGCAUUAAGUGUCGCAACUUUGUCUAGAUACGCAUGUAUCUAGAUGCGUUUUAGUGUGUAUGUACAUGCAUAUCUAGACAAAGUUGUGAUACUUAAAGACGGAGGGAGUAGUAUAUAUUUACUUCACGUACUCUAUACUGCCUAUAUACUAGUAUGAUAAACAUCCACUUGACUUCUUUGUAAGUAAGCGAAGACGAUAUAGAUAGUGUGCGAUCGACAUGGGUGGAGAUAAGCAUAUUUGGCUUCCGGCCCAUUUCUCUAGAAUUGUUCCAUAGUAAAGGUUUAUGACAGGUUCAGAAGCUCCAACGAUGGAAACUAACAAAGUACUUGGGAAACAUCAGAAUUUUUAUUUGAAUACUGGACUAUUGUCAAGGUUGCUAACAUUGCAGUUCAUGUUGUUUUUCUUUAGAGACGUUGCGCUUACUGGGUACAAAUAAAAGUACAUAUGCUCCUUUAUUCUGUUAGUGUUCAUCGGUAACAUACAAAGUCAUUUGUAGACAAAAAUAAAUUCUACAUGCGUGAGGCUGUAAAGCUAAUAGUUUGUGUUGAUGGAAUACUUUGUUUUAUUGUAGCAACUUUUAUAAUCAUCUCUUUUUAAUUGCCUUUUAGUUUGGUCUCUUUUCUGGAGACAUGAAUUUGAAUUAAUGUACAAAAAAUUGCAUGUUAAUGCAGGGCAUGUGUGGCAACGAUGGGAAUCCUCUAUUACCGGUUGUCACAGCGGAGUCUUUUUUCUGAAAACUUUGCCGACGACGAGCCUCAAUAGUACAGUUGAAACUUUGGACCAUGCAGUUUUAUGUCUAGUACUGCUUUGCUGCUGAUUCAAGGGUUUUACCCUCCCUGUAGCCCUUUUUGGGGUUCGCUAGUUACAUGAGUUAAGUAGACCGAAACACCUAAUGGAGUUCGGGCUAUACGGGGUCUGAAAUUUAAACUGUUUCUAUAGGAUCGUUCGUGUGGUUUUGUAACUAUGAAGCUGUUAUAUUGGUAUGUACACCUGAUGGAAAGCCAUAGAAAAUUGUGGUCUACCUUGUGUUCAUAUUAUGGCAAGAGAGUAACUGUCUGUUCUUACUAAUUGACGACUGGAGACUGCACUGUGAUUCCAUUUAAUUUCCAUCUCAUUUUCGCUACUACUAAAAGCACGACUUGUAACAGAUUUAAAUGGCUAUACCCUGCGACUGUUUAUAUCAUGUUUAGCUACGUGGCGGUGCCGCUCCACAAGAGCAAGAUUGUGGAAACAAAUGCAGAUUUCUCUUUUUUUUUAGACGGAACAGGUGUGAGCACGGCGUCAGACAGGGGUCGUCGCAUGAACUACUGUGUAGCUAGCACCCUAAGGGCAUCUCCAAUAGAUGAUUUGCUGCCGUUAUUUAAUGCCAUGUGUCAGAUUUUUGCUUAGGUGGAAGAGAGUAAGAAAAAGCUUAGUACUAGUUACUUCUGCAAGAGACUACUACCUCACGGGUACCAAGAAAACCUGGAGUAUGACAAGUGGGUCCUAAUAAAAAGAUACUUUUUAAUUGAAAAAAGAAGUGAUAGGUAGGAGUCUGAAGUGAUGACAUGGAAAGCUAAGUACAAACUCUGGUAACAGCCUGUUGAAGAUGCCCUAAAUGCAAAGUCUAUGAAAUCCGAACAAGGCGGCAGGACAACCAGCAACGCACGAACCAGCACGACGCAAACGUGAAUCACCAUGACAGCCGGCAGCGCGAUCGGCCCUUUGUAUAGGCAAGUCUGGCCUUGGGACGACGGAAGUGAAACGCAUAUGAGCGACCAACGUAGAAAGAGCAGGAGGCUGCCCCCGGGCACACAAAAAGUGGGUCAACUACGGGUCGGGGGGCCACCCAGGGCAAAGCAGCUGAUAGCGGGCCACCAAAAAAAUGUGCACUGUUGAAAAAACGAAAAAUACAUGGGCACUUGUUGAGGUGGCGUGCUGUGAGGGCGAAAGAUAAUCGUCCAUCUAAACAAAAAUCUGACCAACAUCACCGUCGAAGGCAUCGAAUGUGCGUGACUGGCUCGCCUCCUGCUUCGUACUGCCAUGCCGGCAGGAGAGCGCAGAGAAGGGCUCUUGUAAUCCAGGCAGCCACCACCUCGUUGAGCCAAGCGUGCUGACAGGGCGUGUUGACCCCUUGUAGUGCACCGCGUCGACAAACGGAAAAUAACGUGGCUAUCUCCUGUUGGAACGCACUGGAGUGUAGCGCUGUAUCACACUCCCAUGUGCAGAUUCUAAAAUUAUUAUUUAUUAUUUAUUGAUUGAUUAUCUUUCUUUCCGCGGUCUAGACAAACCCCGGGAGCUCGUAUGCAGGGGUACAAUGCCAACACGGUGUUGCCUCUUCACUAAGAAUCAGCUACCCCGCCGGUUCACAAACAAGCGAACAUACGGAAAUUCCAACAAAAUCAAGAAGUGAGAUAAAAAAUGCAUUAGGAAGGUGCCAACUACACGUCUCCCUUAGUCCCACCACCUCCUAUAGGCAGGCGCACGAGGAACAGUUACCGGGUUUGAUCCCCGUGUAACAAGAAAGAAGCAGUUUUUCUUGAGCUAAAGUGCUUUGGAAAGACAGAUGCACGUUUUUCUGUCGACAAAUCUAAAUCCGAACGUGCACCUACCCGUGAACGGAUUGAGUAGUCGCCCUUGUCAAAGCGGUCAUAUGCAACGGUGGCCCCCGCAAAAGUGUCCAGAUAGCAUUGGCAAUUCGAAGAACUAACUGCAGCCACACGUAUAUUAACAAAAAACAGAAGGACCCUUGACACAACCUUCAACCCCUGUUACCGAGAAACGAACGGUCUCGCGACUCGUGUCUCGCGUGUUGACUCUAAGAAAGAGCCUCACACCACGCGCGUUAACUGGGACAAUCCGAUGGACGCCAGGAAAACCAACAUAUAAACGCGAAGAAUCCCCACUUCCCGCAAGCACAGGGACAAAAUAGACAAACCUGGAUCACUCCUAGAAAUCCUUUUCUCCUAACACAAAACCUCGCCCAGCCAAGAGUCAUGGAGACUCAAGACAACCCAGGAGUCACCGGAAGCCACCAUACGCAAACAAUCCCUACCUCCCAUGAGCACAAGCACAUACCAGACCGCCCAUCUAUUUCUCCUAGAGAUCCUUCUCUCCUAUCAUAAAACCCCGCUCGCCCUGCAUCCACGGAUCUGGAGGAGAGGCCGUCGUUCAAGGACACUGAGGAGGCCAGCAACAGUCGGUCAUAGUGGACAAACCUAUGCCGCGGUGGUGGCCACCUGGAGCUGACCUCAUCAGUAGCCUCCCAGACGGGGUCCUCGGCGAGAUAAUCUAUCUCCUCCCCAUCAAAGAAGGUGCCUGCACCCGUAUUCUCGUGCAUCGGUGGCGCGACCUCUGGUUCGUCGUGCCGCUCAAACUUGAUUGCUGCCAAUUGUGCGGUACUGUCUCAAAGAUCCGAGACCUUACGCCACAUAUCGUAAAGGCUCACCCGGGGCCCGUCCCCCGCUUCUACGUUGCGGCCGACUAGGUCGUAGACCAGCCUGUAACAGCCCGAGAGCAACAUUUUACAUUUAAACCCUUGUUGGACCUGUUUAUAAUUUAUUUAAUGUUGCAUGACAUUUACAUUUGCAUCCAUGCCAUGUCAUAUCUAGUUUUGUUUCACAUGAGUUUAAAAUUUACACUUCAACUUGUUGUUUGAAAUAUUGUUGUUAGAAUUUGCUAGAAGAUUCAAAUAGGAAUCUUCCAUCCUUUUCUUUCGGUGUUUUAAAUUCCUUUUCCAUAUUUUACAAGUGACAUUUAAAUGGGUUUUGUUUUCAACCUUUAAUCCCAUUUGAAUACUUCAAAAUAUUAGUGCCAUAUUUGAAGUCUACUAUUUCUCAGCUCUUCAAAAUGGUAUUUGAAAUUUGAAUCAAAAACUAUUUGCAAAAGAGGAAACAAAAAAAGGAAAAAGGAAAAAAGAAAAAGAAAACCUACCUUUCUUACCUCAGGCCCAAGCCGGCCCAGCAGCCGCCUCGGCCCAGUCUCCCGCGUGCCCCGCAGCCCGGCUCAGCCCCGCCGCCCCGCGCCGCGCCCGCGUUCUGCCUCCCUGUGUCAAAGACGUAAACCCAUAAAUGCGCCUUGUCUCAGAGUCAUCUUCUUCCUCUCUGCUUUUCUUCCUCAUGGCCGG
rnacentral:lncRNA from 1 species